ensembl:lncRNA
GAACGAUAGUAUGUUUUGUGCAGUGGGUUUUUACUUGCACAGAUAUGUUUUUAUUUAAUAUUUAUUAUAAUAUUCAUUUUAUAUUAAUAUAAAUACAUUUCAGUGUUUUUAUUACUUUUGUAUGAUAAACACAUGUGAAUAAUGAGAUGGAGGAUAGCAGACAUUUUAUUAGAAUGAAUUUUAUUUUUAAUAAUUUCCCACAGGAUUUGUUCAAAUCCUUUGCCGUUUCCUCUCCCAUCAUCUCACAGAGUGAAAAACUGCAAAUCGAGGCCAAGAGUGAAGAUGGAAGCAAAGAGCCUCAUCAAGGGCUCCUUCAGCAGGAUUCAGCACUGUGAGAGCGAGACAGACUGGAGACACUUGAAAGUCGAGGACAGAUAGUGAUCUUCGUCAUUAUGUCUCCUCAUCCAGACCUCUGAAGCUCCACCGAUCCCUUUAUUGUCAGAGAUGCCGUGUGUUUAGCAGCAUGCUGCUGUAUAUCUCAGGCGUAUGGUGAUGGCCUAACCGCACAUUGCACAUUGAUAUGAACUGCUGAAAAAUGCUGAUUUAUUUUUGAAGUCAAGCAACAGACCGCAACAGUUGUUAAGUAGCAUAAGUUGCUUAUAAUGCACUCAAAGUAGCAUGAACUGUAAUGAAAACUACAUUAAAAGUCCAUAGUUCAUACUUCAUGCUGAAUAAUUUAUGGCAUAAUUGGUAAGUUCGCUUGUCUUCAAUAGCACACUAACCAUUUUUCAUCAGCCUCGGUUGCGUAAAUAUUUUCCGCAUUAAUUUUCACCACAGGGAUUUCAAAAUAUUCCUACAUUUUUAGACCAUGAACCAAUCCAACCAACUCACAGAUGAAUCGCAACAAUAGAUGUGUCCCAAUUUGCAUACUUAUGCACUAUUCUGUGUCAUUUUGUAGUAUGAAUAGUGCAAUUUGUUUAUAAUUUCAAAAAGACAAACUACACACAAAUACCAGAAUAAUGUUGUUACUGUAGUUCUAGACUGAAUGUGAACGUGAUGUUACUGUGGUUUUGGACUGAAUGUGAACGUGAUGUUACUGUGGUUCGGGACUGAAUGUGAACGUGAUGUUACUGUAGCUCUGUACUAAAUGUGAACGUGAUGUUACUGUAGUUCUGGACUAAAUGUGCACGUGAUGUUACUGUAGUUCUGGACUAAAUGUGCACGUGAUGUUACUGUAGUUCUGGACUAAAUGUGAACGUGAUGUUACUGUAGUUCUGGACUAAAUGUGAACAUGACGCUUACUGUAGUUCUGGACUAAAUGUGAACGUGAUGUUACUGUAGGUCUGGACUAAAUGUGAACAUGACGAUUACUGUGGUUGUGGACUAAAUGUGAACGUGAUGUUCCUGUAGCUCUGGACUGAAUGUUAACGUGAUGUUGCUGUGGUUCUGGACUGAAUGUGAACGUGACGUUACUGUAGUUCUAGACUAAAUGUGAACAUGACGCUCACUGUAGUUCUGGACUAAAUGUGAACGUGAUGUUACUGUAGUUCUGGACUAAAUUUCCACAAAAUUAAUAAAAACAGUGAAAUGCACCUCA